AUGCGUGCCCCGGUUGUGGGUCCUGGCCGUCCUCGGCGUCGUGUCCUAAAGGUGCACAAGAGACCUCGUCUCCACUCCAAGGCCAUUUGUACUGGCAUGGAGGUUGCUUGCCGGCCAUCCAUGAUGGUAAAGACCACCAGCGGCAGCAGGGCCAGCAAGACGGCGGCCACCAUCAACCGCUUCUUCCUGUCCCCAUCACCUUCCUUCAGCCUUCUCCCACCGUCGCCAAUCAAGUUCAAAUCUGUCACAAAAAGAAAAGCUUUGAUGUUGGCUGCAGUGGAUGGAUAUCAAUGGCAUGAUGGCAUGGACGGUGGCAUCCUUCCUCAGAUUUGGUGUGCAAAGGCACAAUUUCCUUCUAGGGCUUCAUCUGCAAAUCCACAAAAGUAUGAAAGGAUCAACUUGUCGAAGUGGUAG
rnacentral:rRNA from 1 species